AGCCUGUGCGGGGUUGCGCCCCCUGUGGUAGCCUGUGCGGGGUUGCGCCCCUGUGGUAGCCUGUGGGGGGUUGUCCCCCUGUGGUAGCCUGUGCGGGAUUUUGCCCCUGUGGUAGCCUGUGCGGGAUUGCGCCCCCUGUGGUAGCCUGUGCGGGGUGAUUGCGCCCCCUCUGGUAGCCUGUGCGGGGUGAUUGCGGCCCCUGUGGUAGCCUGUGCGGGGUUGCGCCCCCCGUGGUAGCCUGUGGGGGGUUGUCCCCCGUGGUAGCCUGUGGGGGGUUGUCCCCCUGUGGUAGCCUGUGGGGGGUUGUGCCCCCUGUGCGUAGCAACUGUAGAUGAACACCUCUCACUAUCAGCUGUCACUGUCAUGGACAGCCAGAGGGAACCAUAGAGUGACUGAUGAGGACAGUGAUGGGACACUGGUGAGGUGCUGAAGGACUGGUCAUGGGAAUGGCCUUGGCUAUGCCACUCACUGGGUCACGUGGUCACAUUACGUCACCCCUAAGCCAUAGUUUCCUUCCAUGCAAUACCAGAUGUUAACAGUGCCUGCCUGAACUGGCUUGCUGCACCCUCUGAGUCCCGGCAAAGAGAUCGUAUGAUCAAUCCCAGCCAUCUCAUCAGACUCCCAGUUACUAAGGGAACUGGUUUCCCUGAGAACCACUGUCCACAAUCACCCCUCAAACACAGGCACUGAAAUCCAGGCCCUGACUUCCAAGAGUGAGGAGGCCUUGGAUGGGACCCUGAGCUGGGACAGAUCCAGGUACCUAGCAUGACUUCUAAGCUCCAGUCCUGUCUUCCAGGCCACACCUUGCAAGAAACAACACCACUUAUGAAAACGGAGGUAGGGAAUUUUAGGUAGGAACUGGAAGCAGGUGAGAGACUCUGGUCUCCAAGAGUGUGAGCGGGAGCAACUUCCUGUUCUGGACCACUGGCACCUCUAGCUGCAGUUGGAACCCAAAGGUAGUUUCCAUGGAGAGAUGGCUGGAGGGGAAGAAGCAGGAACCCAAAGCAGAUCAAGGAUUAUGAUAUUGCAAAUCCAGCAGCAGGUGACCGGAAAUCCUCGGCUUACCGAGAAUAGGAGUAACGAUAAGGAGGAAUAUGGGUACAGCUGGCCCCACUUCCUGUCCAUGGCCCACUGGGAAGAGCCUCCAUUUUUUUCAUCCCCUCUUGCCCCAUCAGACUCUGAAAGAACCUGCUGUCCCAUUAAUUGGCAUAGUGUAUAGUGUCCCAUUAUAAAGGCAGCUGUUACUGGUAUUUUCAAAGAAGUGCUGGUCUGAAGCCAACAAGUACUAGCAACCGAAGAACGCUGACCUGGUGGUUAUUACUCCCAGGAGGACAGAGGUAAGAAUCCAUCACGGCAGGGAGGCAUGGCAGCGGGACCGGGGAGCUGAGCGAUCGCGUUCUCAACCACAGCACAGAGCAGAAAGAACGCUGGAAGCAGGG